GAUGAAGAACGUAGCAAAAUGCGAUAAGUAAUGUGAAUUGCAGAAUUCAGUGAAUCAUCGAAUCUUUGAACGCACAUUGCGCCCGCUGGUAUUCCGGCGGGCAUGCCUGUUCGAGCGUCAUUUCAACCCUCAAGCCCCCGGGUUUGGUGUUGGGGAUCGGCUCUGCCCUUCUGGGCGGUGCCGCCCCCGAAAUACAUUGGCGGUCUCGCUGCAGCCUCCAUUGCGUAGUAGCUAACACCUCGCAACUGGAACGCGGCGCGGCCAUGCCGUAAACCCCCAACUUCUGAAUGUUGACCUCGGAUCAGGUAGGAAUACCCGCUGAACUUAAGCAUAUCAAUAAGCGGAGGA
rnacentral:misc_RNA from 1 species